CCUGUCACUAGUGUUACUUUAAUUUUAAAUAUCACAUUUUUAUUCAUCCAACUACAGGUCAGGAGCUAUCUCCCUAUUGUUGAAAAAGUUUGACAGAACAUUUGUAUAUGUCACCGAACAUCCUUCAGUGUGCACGGGGACUGAUAGGAGUCCACUGACUUUAACCCAUUAAAGACCAAACUUCUGGAAUAAAAGGGAAUCAUGAC